AAGAAGCACCGGCUAACUCCGUGCCAGCAGCCGCGGUAAUACGGAGGGUGCGAGCGUUAAUCGGAAUUACUGGGCGUAAAGCGCACGCAGGCGGUUUGUUAAGCUAGAUGUGAAAGCCCCGAGCUCAACUUGGGAUGGUCAUUUAGAACUGGCAGACUAGAGUCUUGGAGAGGGGAGUGGAAUUUCUAGUGUAGCGGUGAAAUGCGUAGAUAUUAGAAGGAACAUCAGUGGCGAAGGCGACUCCCUGGCCAAAGACUGACGCUCAUGUGCGAAAGCGUGGGUAGCGAACAGGAUUAGAUACCCUGGUAGUCCACACCGUAAACGCUGUCUACUAGCUGUUUGUGACUUUAACUCGUGAGUAGCGAAGCUAACGCGCUAAGUAGACCGCCUGGGGAGUACGGCCGCAAGGUUAAAACUCAA
rnacentral:rRNA from 1 species